rnacentral:lncRNA from 10 species
CUUGUCUGCUCCUGACUCUACACGUAGCUGAUAAUGAGAAGGGAAGAUGGGGCUCCCGUUUUGAACAUGAUUGGCACAACUGCCAGCAUCUAUGUCUGCAGCUCGAUUUUAUAGGCUGCUCAUUGUUAGAAAGGAAAAUGAUUUGGAGCUACUUUUCAUUAAAAGGAAAACCUUACUGAGGACUGCUGUACCCUCACUAUCUGCUUAAGUAAUUUCUUCUUUUUUUUUUUUUUUUUGAGACGGAGUCUCCAUGUUAGAGUGCGGUAGCACGAUCUCGGCUCACUGCAACCUCUGCCUCCCGGAUUCAAGAGAUUCUCCUGCCUCAGCCUCCGGAGUAGCUGGGACUACAGGCGCGUACCAACACACCCAGCUAAUUUUUGUAUUUUUAGUAGAGAUGGUGUUCCACCACGCUGGCCAGGAUGGUCUUGAUCCUUGACCUCCUGAUCUGCCUGCCUCGGCAUCUCAAAGUGCUGGGAUUACAGGCGUGAGCCACUGCACCCGGCCAGUAAUUUCUUCUUAACUCCUGUAUCAACAUAUGAUAAAAUAGAGCAUUUUAAAAACAAGUUUUUGAAAAGAUUAAGAAUUUAUAAAAAGCUCUAAGAAGGAAACUUCAAAUACGGAUCUCAAUCACAAGCAAGGGUAAUGAGGACCCAGUGACCAUGAAGAGGCUCCAGAACUUCAUGACCUUCUGUUAUGAAAAGUUACUUAUAGUACUAUCUGUGCUCAACAGAAAAGUGCCUACUGAAGGUAAGAUUGCAGACAGAAGAGUCUGUGCCCAUUGACUAUUAUAAAGGGUGGAAAGAAUGUAAGGCUGCUUCUAACUGUAGUGGAGAAAUAAAAGGAAAAAAAGAAAACAACAAAGUCACAUGUUGAGUUUUUGUUUAAGGUUUGGUCAAAGUAUCAGGGAUUUUUCUAUGACUGCUCUAAAAGGAUUUCUUCUAAUUUAAUUGGUAUAGCAGAAAAAUCAGAUCCUAAAACCUA